UGGGAUUGAUGACUUUCAUUU
rnacentral:piRNA from 1 species